UCUGGGACUCGUUCCUGGGUCUGCCGCCGGAUGCGCCGUCGCAAAGCCCAUUCACCGGGGCGGGCGCCCACUCGAUGCGCUCGCUCCACCCUCAAAACACUUUUCGACCUGAGAUUAGGCAAGAUUACCCGCCGAAUUUAAGCAUAUUAAUAAGCGGAGGAAAAGAAAACAACUGUGAUGCCCCUAGUAAUGGCGAAUGAAACGGGCGGAGCCCAGCACCGAACCACUGGCAAUGCUGUCACGUGGCAUGUGGUGUUCGGGAGAGUCUUAUCUCGUGCGGAUGGCCAGUCCAAGUCCACCUUGACUGGGGCCACGGCCCAUAGAGGGUGAUAGGCCCGUAAGGCGGCCGUCCGUGCGAGCUGACUUUUCCCUAGAGUCGAGUUGCUUGGGAGUGCAGCUCAAAGUGCGUGGUAAACUCCACGUAAGGCUAAAUAUGACCCCGAGACCG
rnacentral:rRNA from 1 species